UAUUCUUUUAGUAUUAACUAGUACAGCUGACUUCCAAUUAGCUAGUCUUGGUAGAACUCCAAGAAAGAAUA
rnacentral:tRNA from 1 species